rnacentral:rRNA from 1 species
UGAUCCUCAGCUUGCUGGGGGGAUUAGUGGCGAACGGGUGAGUAACACGUGAGUAACCUGCCCUUGACUCUGGGAUAAGCCUGGGAAACCGGGUCUAAUACUGGAUAUGACCUUCCCACGCAUGUGGUGUUGGUGGAAAGCUUUUGUGGUUUUGGAUGGACUCGCGGCCUAUCAGCUUGUUGGUGGGGUAAUGGCUUACCAAGGCGACGACGGGUAGCCGGCCUGAGAGGGUGACCGGCCACACUGGGACUGAGACACGGCCCAGACUCCUACGGGAGGCAGCAGUGGGGAAUAUUGCACAAUGGGCGCAAGCCUGAUGCAGCGACGCCGCGUGAGGGAUGAAGGCCUUCGGGUUG